CAAAACACAACCAUACUAGAGGCAAAGAAUACAAAGUACAACAUUCAUCACAGUCACACCAACAGCUUCCUGUGUAAGUUGUGUUUUUACGCUGUUGCUGCAAGGUUUCUUGUUCUUCUUGAUCUUUUCAUUUCUUUAAUAGAUUGUUUGAAAUAAAUGAUAAUAACAUUUUAUUUACUUUACUUCUGCUUUUAGGAUUUAAGACCAAAUCUAAUCUCAAUCUAACAUAGAUUUCAACAUCUUUCACUUCUUCAUUAGAUUUUCUGAUGGUAAUGAAAUGAGUUAUAUUGGUGGUAAUGGGCAGAUGUUGAACUGCAGUUUCUGUGACUCCACCACAACUGAAGCAACAGGUCACCGUCUGCAUUGCUGUUUGGUCUCAUGAAAAACUAUUUAAGCUCAUCUCAGAUGACUCUCAGAAUGUUUGCUGCCGAUCUUCUUGUACUUAGCUCUAUUCUAUCAGCUGCUUGGUGUCUGUCAGUCCUAAACGUAUCGGUCCCCAAAACCCUCAACAGCACCAGCGGCUCUUGCCUUCUGAUUCCUUGUCUAUUCAACAUUUCAAAGGAGAAAGAAAACAUUCUUGAUAGUUCACCAGGUGGAACAUGGAGACGAGGAUCUCUGUGGUCACUCUAUGAUACAGAUGGUUUCACCAUC
ensembl:lncRNA